UAUGGCAGAUUAGUGCAUUGGAUUUAAACUCCUUUUAUAAAGAUUUCUUAAUCUUUUAUUAAAA
rnacentral:tRNA from 1 species